ACCGCCACUUGGGUCUGGUAAUGCCAGCCCAGAGCUUGUGUCUCCUUAUAGGAGAAGACAGCAAAGGCUUCUGCGACCCAGCUCAUUGGGGGCAAGGGAAAGGUGACUAGUUUAAAAAAAGACCCUGACUCUGAGACCUUCUGCGGACAUCGUGCUCCCAUGACUGAGCUUCCGUUGCUUCUCUCUUGUCAGACUAAAGGUUCUAUGGAGAUAGAAUGUUCCAGAACAAACAGCCAGUGCUGAGUGUCCAGCCCGUCCAGCCUCACACAGCCCGGCUCGGAGCUCGCAAACAGCUGUUCACGUCCCCAGGAUGAGUGUCUCCCCUGAGCAUUCACUGUGACUGUACUCUAAGGCCCAGGCACCAUGCUCCCUGUACACACAACGGCCAGGAGAAGAUCCAGGCUUCCCUGGGCUUCAGCAUAGCAAGCCAAAGCUGGGGUAGAUACAGGCCGACUUGGGACUUCCCAUUGGUGUUUUCCUCAGGGCCUCAACCAAAACAAACAAAGGGAAGGGGUAUUGCACAGCCGGGAGGAAGCAGGCCCUACUGUUACCGCCACUUGGGUCUGGCAAUGCCAGCCCAGAGCUUCUGUCUUUACAGCAAAGGCUUCUGCGACCCAGCUCAUUGGGGACAAGGGAAGGGUGACUUUAAUUUAAAGAAGAUCCUGACUCUCAGGCCCAGCUUGGACCUCACCAGCACUCUGGAGACCCAGGACCCCUACCUUGUUGGCCUUGUUGAGCUCGGAGUGUUUUUCCACACUGCGUACCGGGAAAACUCUUAAAAAACGAGCCAGUGAUGCCUGCAUGUUUGCAGAGAGAACAAAGCUGGGAAGAGCUGCGUGAGGAUCCCGUUUCCUCCAGUUGACACCCGCCAUCGCCAUCAUGAAGUAUAGUUGCCUAGGUGACCUUCAAAGACCUUGGCCCACAGUCAAGGCCAAAGAACACACAGAAAAAUACCAACAGUCAGGCGGGCGGUAAGUCAGCGUCUCUGACUGGAAGAUGAGAGGAAUGAUCCUCACCAGAGCUUCCAGUCGCCAUGUCGUUCCUCCGAAGCGACACGUGGUCCUUGGAGGGCCGAAGGUCUUGGGAGGUGGAAGGUUGAUUAAGGUUUGGGACCUUAAACUAAUGUAUCUGCCCUGGGGUUGGUCAUGCGCCAGUAUGUAACUUCAGUAAACCCAUAGGCUUGGAUAGCA